AUAGGAGACAAGAAGGCAUCUUCUUGUUUUUAAAAGACCUAGCAAUAGGUAUGCUUAGGGAGGAGCUUGCGUCACAUUAGUUAGUUGGUGGGGUAAAGGCCUACCAAGACUAUGAUGUGUAGCCGGGCUGAGAGGUUGAACGGCCACAUUGGGACUGAGACACGGCCCAAACUCCUACGGGAGGCAGCAGUAGGGAAUUUUCGGCAAUGGAGGAAACUCUGACCGAGCAACGCCGCGUGAACGAUGAAGUAUUUCGGUACGUAAAGUUCUUUUAUUAGGGAAGAAUAAAUGAUGGAAAAAUCAUUCUGACGGUACCUAAUGAAUAAGCCCCGGCUAACUAUGUGCCAGCAGCCGCGGUAAUACAUAGGGGGCAAGCGUUAUCCGGAAUUAUUGGGCGUAAAGGGUGCGUAGGCGGUUAAAUAAGUUUAUGGUCUAAGUGCAAUGCUCAACAUUGUGAUGCUAUAAAAACUGUUUAGCUAGAGUAAGAUAGAGGCAAGUGGAAUUCCAUGUGUAGUGGUAAAAUGCGUAAAUAUAUGGAGGAACACCAGUAGCGAAGGCGGCUUGCUGGGUCUUUACUGACGCUGAGGCACGAAAGCGUGGGGAGCAAACAGGAUUAGAUACCCUGGUAGUCCACGCCGUAAACGAUGAGUACUAAACGUUGGGUAAAACCAGUGUUGAAGUUAACACAUUAAGUACUCCGCCUGAGUAGUACGUACGCAAGUAUGAAACUUAAAGGAAUUGACGGGACUCCGCACAAGCGGUGGAUCAUGUUGUUUAAUUCGAAGGUACCCGAAAAACCUCACCAGGUCUUGACAUGCUUCUGCAAAGCUGUAGAAACACAGUGGAGGUUAUCAGUUGCACAGGUGGUGCAUGGUUGUCGUCAGCUCGUGUCGUGAGAUGUUGGGUUAAGUCCCGCAACGAGCGCAACCCUUAUUGUUAGUUACCAGCACGUAAUGGUGGGGACUUUAGCAAGACUGCCAGUGAUAAAUUGGAGGAAGGUGGGGACGACGUCAAAUCAUCAUGCCCCUUAUGACCUGGGCUACAAACGUGAUACAAUGGCUGUUACAAAGGGUAGCUGAAGCGCAAGUUUUUGGCGAAUCUCAAAAAAACAGUCUCAGUUCGGAUUGAAGUCUGCAACUCGACUUCAUGAAGUUGGAAUCGCUAGUAAUCGCGAAUCAGCAUGUCGCGGUGAAUACGUUGA
rnacentral:rRNA from 1 species